CCUACGGGUGGCUGCAGUGGGGAAUAUUGCACAAUGGGGGGAACCCUGAUGCAGCGACGCCGCGUGAGUGAAGAAGUAUUUCGGUAUGUAAAGCUCUAUCAGCAGGGAAGAAAAUGACGGUACCUGACUAAGAAGCCCCGGCUAACUACGUGCCAACAGCCGCGGUAAUACGUAGGGGGAAAGCGUUACCCGGAUUUACUGGGUGUAAAGGGAGCGUAGCCGGCAGAGCAAGUCUGCAGUGAAAGCCCGCGGCCCAACUGCGGGACUGCUUUGGAAACUGCCCGGCUAGAGUGCUGGAGAGGUAAGCGGAAUUCCUAGUGUAGCGGUGAAAUGCGUAGAUAUUAGAAGGAACACCAAUAGCGUAGGCAGGUUGCUGGGACGGUUCUGACACUAAGGCACGAAAGCGUAGGGAGCAAACGGGAUUAGAUACCCUGGUAGUC
rnacentral:rRNA from 1 species